ACAAGUAAAGAUAGACAACUACCAAGGCACUUACUAACCACUAUUGUCCUUUACAAUAACUAAAACACAAAUGCAGAGAAGUGGGUUUAGUUUCCAAAAAGGAAUCUUGCACAUGGAGCUUGGACAGAACCGAGAAGGAAAGUGCUAGAGUAAGAGAGCUAUCCCAUAAUUCAACCUCCAUAGCAAGCUAUCAUAGCAUCCUUAACUAGAGCUCUUCUAAUGGGGUCAGGUGGGUUAAAAAUCCAUAGUUGAGAGAGGCAUCCCCUUCUACAUAAAUCAGCAAUUGUAUGGGCAGUUUCAUUGCUAGAUCUUCGGGUCCAGGUGAAGGUAGAGGUAAUUAAAUUCUGACUUAGCUUUCUUAUAUCUCCAAGAAUGUUCUGAAUUUCACCAAUGCUCUUGUUUCCAUUGCAAGCAUCAAUGAGGGGCUUGUUGUCAGACUCAAAGAUUACAUGUUGCUAUUGUAGAUUGUGGGCAAGCAUCAACAUAAAGAGAGAGCGAGAAAAAUCGUGGGAGAGGAACUAGCGGAGCUCAAGGCAGAAGAUGGUGGCAUCCCUCUAAAUCAAGAUGGUGGUGUCUUUUCCGUUUCGAUUCACGUUUCUGAAUCAAGUUUCUGUCACCUCCGUUUCCUCACAAUCUUCUCCGUCGUUGGAUUUGUGAGGUAGUGUGCCUGUGAUGAAUCAACGAGCCUUGACGAGCUCUAGAGCGAUCUUCAGGUUUGGUGAAGGUAAAGAGCAAUUUCUUUAGGAAUGAAUAGAGAAGAGAUGGAUGUGACAUGUCGUUGCUUCCACUGCAAAUUGCAAUCUCACCGCAGCUUUCACUCUUCCAUUUCAUCUAUCGGAAAAGUAAUUUCUUUCACUCUAAUCCUUCUCUAUCAAUAGGCAAUUUCCUACCCCUUCACAGCUUUCCCUUUCACUCUCGAAAUCUCCAGAUCCCCUCCUCCCUUCACAGCUUUGAUGACUGUUCAAAUUCCAGACAGAACCAUCAUAGUCACCUCCUCCUUCUUACCUCCAUCAAUAGCCACCUCCUCACCUUUCCAUAUGCACCCUGUCGAGAGCUUCCAUCAAGCCGGGCACGACAGAAGCAACUCCACCGUGCGGUUGUUCCAUGACGCCACUUUGGCCGUUGCCCCAUAGACUUUUCUAGGUAUCGUUCUAGAAGCAACACUUUUGCCAUUUAAGAAAUUCUAUGGAGAUGUCAUUUGUGCUUUAUAAGGAUUGGAUUUUCCCAAGCAAGUACUGAUCACAAAUCUUCUGAAGAGGAAAUAAAUUCAUGAAGAAUCCAAGUUUAAAGUAAAAAUGUGCAAUUUUAGAGAGGCUAGGUGCUGAGCACCAACUUGGAGAUGUUGAGCACCAACUUGGAGAUGCUGAGCACCCUAAGAAGCUGAGAAAUCUUUGUCCUGAAGAAAGCAGAGCGCUGAGCGCCCAAAAUAUGGCGCUGAGCGCCCAUGACGGUGGAAACUCUUCAACUUGAAGAAACAGGGGCGCUGAGCGGCCUCUGAAGGGCGCUGAGCGCCUGUGGCCGCCUCAAACACGUAUAAAAGGCCAGAAAUCAUAUUUUUGAGGGAUCUCUCCCAUUCUCUUCGAAUUUCUCCCACUUUUGGCACCAAAACAGAGCUAGGGACUUGGGCUUCAUGGAGGAGAGGUCCCUGGGUUUAGGAUUGAUGGAUUGAAGCUCCGGAGCAUGGCGACGACCGCCGAAGGACCGUGACAACCUCUCGGAGGCGAUGGAAAGCUUGGGAAAGCUUCUAUCGUCGUGGAUCCUUCGCCGUUCUUCUGGGUUUCAUCUUUUCUUCCUUAUCCCUUGUACUUGUUGUUUCUAUUUUUGUAUUUAGGAUGUCUCUUUCAUCAAUGUAAAUGAUAAUCUUUCAUGUAUUGUGUUUUUCUUUGCACUUCAUGCUUCUAACCAAUCAAUUGAUAAUCAAAAGAGUUUCACUAAUUCAUAAA